CCUGGCUCAGAUUGAACGCUGGCGGCAUGCCUAACACAUGCAAGUCGAACGGCAGCACGGUCUAGUUUACUAGAUGGGUGGCGAGUGGCGGACGGGUGAGUAAUGCGCAGGAAUAUGCCUUAAAGUGGGGGACAACUUGGGGAAACUCAAGCUAAUACCGCAUAAUCCCUUUGGAGAAAAGCUGGGGACCUUCGGGCCUGGCGCUUUAAGAUUAGCCU
rnacentral:rRNA from 1 species